GCCUACGGGGCGCAGCAGUGGGGAAUAUUGCACAAUGGGGGAAACCCUGAUGCAGCGACGCCGCGUGAGUGAAGAAGUAUCUCGGUACGUAAAGCUCUAUCAGCAGGGAAGAAAAAAAGUCUUUGGCUUUGGACGGUACCUGACUAAGAAGCCCCGGCUAACUACGUGCCAGCAGCCGCGGUAAUACGUAGGGAGCAAGCGUUGUUCGGAAUGACUGGGCGUAAAGGGUGCGUAGGCGGUU
rnacentral:rRNA from 1 species